rnacentral:lncRNA from 10 species
GGAGCACUGAACUGGGUGAGGAACCGAAUAUACAGGGAAUCUUCAAAGGCGUUGGCCCAUUUCUUGGGUAAAUCACUGGGGAGGCUUGAAAGCACAGAGGUGGAGACUUAAGACAAUGCACUCUGUAGCCAUGCUCUCUGGAUUUGAAUCCCAGAUUUGCCUCUUAGUAACCCUAUGACCUUGCCUGCUAGCAGAGAUGAAUAAGGCUGAAGAAGCAAGUCCCUGGAGAGAAAGGAAGAGAUGAGAGAGACCCCCAAGUUGUGUGAUCACCUCCAGCACACUGGAGACUGAGCCGUUUCACAAGAUCAUUCAUUCUAGGAGAGACCUUGGGAGGAGAAGUCAUGAGGACAGUCAACCAGCUCUUUGAAGAAGUCCACAUGCUGAGAAACUGAGGCCUCCUGCCAACAGCCUUGUGAGUGAAUCAUCUUGGAGGUGGAUCCUCCAGCACCUGUAAAACCUUCAGAUGACCACAGAUCUGGCUGACAUUUUGACCUCAAUGUUAUGAAAAAUCUUGAGGCAGAAGCACCCAGCUAAGCCAAUCCUGUAUUCUUCACCUACAGAAACUAUGAGGUACUAACACAUGCUUAUUGUUUCAAACUGCCAAGUUUUAGAGUAAUUUCUUAUGCAACAAUAGAUAACUAAUAAAACAAUGUUAACAAUAACCUGAUGUACACCCAUGAAAUAUGAUAUCCAGACAAAAUUAGAAAGUGUUUAUGUAUGCACUGCAUUGUUAUGUUUCUUUAUAGAACAAAAAGAAUCCUAUGUUUUUCGGAUCCUUUUCUCAAGUCAGUGCCAGUGAUGCAGGGCCCAUGAGCCCGGAAAUUGGGGCUCAGCCUGGGAGGGUUCUUGGCUCCACCCGGGAAAGUAUUCAAGGGUGGACCAGUGGUGCCAGAUAGCAACUUUUAUUGAAGAGGCCGUGUAUGGCAGCAGCAGAGGCACUGGUCCUUGUGGAGCAGAGAUACUCCAUAGGCAGUGUGCCCAGAGUAGCAGCUCAGAGGCAGUUCUUCAGUCAUAUUUAUACCCACUUUUAAUUACAUGCAAAUUAAGAGGUGAGUUAUUCAGAAAUUUCUAGAAAAGGGGUGGUAACUUCCAGGUCAUUGACAUGGAAAGUGGGGGGUAACUUCUGCAUAUUGCCAUGGCAGUGGUAAACUGACAUGGCACUGGUGGGCAUGUCUUAUGGAAAGGUGCUUUUGCCUCUUCUUU